AAAAGUUCAGUGAGUUUCAUAUCUGCACUGUGAGAAAAUUUUUAAAAAUGAUAUUUUGGCAUACAUCACAUAUUUCAGCCAUAACACACAUGGUAAUGCACUAACAAGAUAAAGACCCAAAAGAAAGGAGCUUCUUAUUACAAGGAUAAUGCCAAUGGCCUUUCUUUUUUUUUUCAUGAUGAUGAUGGCAAAUACAUCCAACAAAGAUAACUACAAAGUACUUGGAAUGGAGCUACGUAGGGAGACUCUCUCCUACACCAGUGUCCAGCAGAAUUAUCACAUUGUUCCAAUGCUCCAAAAGAACAAUACAUAGCAUCCCUAGAAACAUACAUAACAGCAAUAGAGGCUUUAAGGACAGGUUAAUUUGAACCUCAUGUUGGUAUUAGUACAACAGUAUUGGUAGAGUUAAACCCAUCCCUAGUCCUUGCGUGAGACAACUGAGUAUGUUUUGCAACACUCUCAAUUUGUAGGGAUAGCUUCUGUUCUGUUUUGGGAGAGGGAGACAGACCCUCUGCGUCGGCAGACUCCAUGUGAGAAUGGUCUCCAAAUCUGCAUGGUGAUACAAAACGCGAGAGACUGCGGGUAGAUAUUUGAAUCAAGGGCCACUUUGGUUUUUACCAUCUUGCCAACUACCACCACUCUCUCUUUGUCCUGUUGUAUACUCUCAAGGUGGAGAGGUUUGAGAGUGGGAUCUUGAGGAAGUCUUGCAGCUUGGUUAGAGAUGCAUUGGGAGGCUUGGAGUGAGACCAUUGAAGCUUGGGAGCUUGGACCUCGUCAUCAUCAUCUUCUCUUCCAUCCACAUUCCUGUUCACAGAGUAAAGCUCUGAGGUAGGGGUUUCAUCUCUUUCCUAUAUGUAUUAUAUAUGUGAUGUGGUUUCUACCUUUGCAUAGAACUCUUGUAUUUAUACUAGAUGACAAUUGAAUGAAAAACCAAAGUAGAUCGUGACCAGAAACCACAUUUUUUACCAAGGCAAUUGACCAGCCUAAAGGUCCGGAUGUGGGAAAAUGGUCUUGUUUAGCCUUAACAGAGGGAGUUGAGACCACAGACAACCAAACCAGGCGACAAGCCAGUAAGCUGGCGGUCGACUGGCCUAUGUCAGGCAGAACCGUGUGCUGGGACUUGUUUUGGGACUUUGGGGGUUGCUUUUGGACCCCUUUUUUCUCUGUUUAGAAGGAUAAUUGCUAUGUUUUGUAAUUCCAUAAUUGUUUAAGCAUUGCAUCAAUUGUAAGGAAUGUAAUGGAGUGGGAAAAGGGUUAGUGACUGAUGCUUCGGGUCAAUGAAAUAUUGUUAAUUUAAUUAUGAAUUGUGAUGUCAAGAAAUUUGUUCAACUAACAAAGAGUUAAAUGGGUGGACUGUUGAGUCAGAGCCACGGAAUAUUGUGUAAGCUUGAUUAGGGUGAUAUGGACGUCAUCCUCUGGUUAGAGUCCAGGAAGGUAUUGCACACUGUCGAGGGCAAGUAACCGCCGUGUUUCAUGAUAACGAAUGGAGAAGCGAUGUGAGUUAUUUGUAGAAAUGGUAUUGCCGUAAAGUCUAUUUUGUUGGAAGUAUAUAUGAUGAAACAGUGAAAUCCUUUGUAUACGUGCUACGUUUUAUUAAUUUUAAUAUUGAUGGUCCCAUUGUACUUGAGUGGUGCAAUAUUGGAACUAUCCAGUGUGUUAGAAAUUAUGUUGAUGAGCAUUUCCAUUGUGUUGAUUUAUUAUGAAGCUAGUGUCAGCUAAUUGUGCGUAAUAGUAUAAUUGUUGUAGUAAUGAUCAAAAGGGUUAUAUAUUAAAUACAAAUUGUGGAAUACACUUGGCAUAGCAUGCAUACACGUAGGAUAGAGAUAUUGGUGAGCAUGUUGUUCUUUUGCUCACCCCCUAGAAGGGAGAUCACACUGUCAUUUGGAACUGAAGGUUGUAGACCUAGGUUUAGAAAUUGAGGCUAAACCCUUCUCUUAUUCAAAUAAUGUAUUAAUUUUGAAUUUAUAAAUCAAAUCUUUGUUUAAUGAAAUGAAUAUUCUUCCA